UGAGCUCAACCACCAUCGCUGUGAUACACAUCUUUGCCAGCCCAGCGUGUGCUCACUGUGGUCCCAUCCAACCAUAGAGCAGGUGGGUGUAUAUAUAACGAUACAAACCUGCUCUGGAGCACUUCUGAGCUUGUUCUUUGCACCUACCCAGGUGUGCAGGGCAAAGAAUUGGCUGUUUAUAAAGUUCAUUCUGUUCUCACUGUAUUGCAGGCACUGUUCAGCUGCUGGGUGGGUUCUCAUCAUCCUCUCAGGGUUUGGGGGUUUCAAGGGAAGGCGAUGGAAUAGCUGCCAUUGAUAUAAAAAAUGUAGGGUGUAGGUUAGAUACCAACAACGGCCAAGGGCGUAUUGGUGCUGGGAAGUGGGAUUUGCAUAAAAUCUUUGCAUUUUCUGUGCAAUAAGGCAGGCACCAAAAUGGAAACCUGAAGGUGACAAACCCGGCCGUCCCUUCGAAAAGCUUUAGUCUGGUGUUUGCCCUUUGAAGCCUAAGAAAAUCCCAGCUGGAAGAGCUGAGAUGCUUUUCAAAGGGAUGGCACCGCAGGAGCACAGAGGCUGCUUCCAAACGGAGUGGAUGCCCUGUGAUGCAGUCAGGUUUGGGGCAUCAGCAUCCCCCAACCCCAGCUCAGCUAUCUGCCUUGCAGUGGUCCCGGCCCUCCCAAGCUGUGCGUUUUGCUCGCUUCCAAAACCAAGGAGCCAACAGCGCUGAGACAAAAGUAAUUAUUUCAGCUAUUAGCUGCUAAGAAUAGAGCCCGCGGGGGUGCUCUGCAUGGCUGAGGUGCACUGACAGCACACUUGGAGGUAGCAGGGAUUGCAGUGGAAGCACAGAAAUAGCCGUUCUCCGCACUCAGCACUUUGAAGCUUCAUGAGUCACCGAAAUACACGGUGAGGGGACAGGUAGGGGGCAGAGGAAAUUACCCCUUCCCCCUUUACAUAUGAAAUAGAGCAUUUCCCUGGGCAAAUUGCUGGAUUUCUAGGGGGAGAACAGCAUUUUGCUGAGGACCUGGGGAGUGCUGGAUCUCGUAUGCAUCUUAACAUCUUGCCAUGGUGCUGUUUAGGACAACUUGUUGCAAUACCACAACAUGUUUUCACUCUGUAGAGCUGCUAAGGGGAGAGUUCCCUUUUAUGCUGUUUGUGCAGUGCAGGGUACGAUACAUUCCUGCUCCAUGACUACGUUUCCAAUCUACAUAGUAAAAGGAAUAAUAAUGAGAGUAAAAGUUGUACAGCUGUUUUUGUACAGCAAUCGGCGUGUCAUUUUAGUGCUGGAUUUCUCCAGCUAUUGUACAGGAAGAAAAAAUAAAAUAGAAAUCUGAUUUGUAAAAAACACCCUGCCCAACCAAAACAAAAACAAACAUACCCAAACUGGAGCUUUGAAAGAGAAUUUCUGUAUCAGUCCUGAGUACAGCCACAGAAAGGGUCAAGCUAGAUAGAAUUAAACAUCUCAGCUGGAGCAGGGACAGGGCAGCAGACAGCUUGCUAAAAAUAGAUUAAUCCUAAUUACAGCCACACUUCUACUUUUCCAAGGUUUCCUGUUUCACAUGGGGACACCAAGGCUGUGAAUGGACGGAGGGUCGCUGUGCUCAGCCCCCAGCCCUGGAAGGCAUCUGAGAGCCCAGCUGACCAGUAGACCUCACCGAGGUGAGACCUCCCCCUUCCUGCCCGUGCUCUGCAGGAAUAACCCUGCGCUGUCACUGUCCGGGCUGUUGUUGCAUUCCUGCUGGCUUUGCUGCAUGCAAGUCUUGUCUGAGUUUUGUACCUUCCUGUUGUCCUUGAAAUGGGGAUUGUAAAUUAUUUUGGCCAGCAGUAAACUGUCUUUGCUUGUCCAGCACUGAGCUGCUCUGGCCUCUCAGUUAAGGAUUCUCGCCACUUCUAAAAAUAAGUAAUUAUGAGAUAUUAUCUCCUUAAACUACUUGUUAAAAAGCGGAGGCAAGAAGACACUCCUUUCCCAUCCAUUUUCUCCUCAAACUACCAAUUUAUUUUUUUUAAUUUGCUUUAAAUGGUGCUCUUUCGAUCUGUUCUCUUCUGCAGCCAUUCAUACAGCAGGAGAGCACAACAGCCUCGAGGUUAGGAUGCGUACUUUCCACUCACACAACCAGAAUCAUUGGAAGGCCACAAGGAAGUUCUAAAAUCCAAGCUACCAUUAAGAAAACAGAAAUUAAGCUCAAAAAUAUUUUUAUGGAAGAGCCCUGGUUACUUUUCCCAGCUGGGAACUAUUUUGCAAACAAACCAUGAUUAGAAGUGGAACUUUUCUAUAUUGUUUUACUCCAAGGAUAACACAGAUAUUUUCAUUUUUCAAUAUGUUUUUGGUUUCCUUAUUUGACCAAUUCUCAUUGGUCGUCUUAACCCAACAGUAGAUUGAUUUCCCUUUCCAGAAUGGGAGACAUUUGUUUUCAACGAUUCCUUCAGAUAAUCCGCAAAGUAGAAAACAAAACAUUAAACAUUACAAAACAAACCAGAUGAAAAUACUUUCAGCUUUGCUCAUGUUCCUGCCAACUAUUUUUCUUUAAAAAAACAAAACAACACCAACCAGCCCCUUCUCAGCCCGUGCACCAACAACUGUAUCGUUUUACUCCUUUAAAGGGGAAGGCAUGGCUGAGGAUGAGCUCUGCAGUGGCCAAGCUCUGAGUUUAAGCCUCCAAUCCAGCAUCUAGUGCUAUUCCUGCCCAAAGGACAAGGCAGUAAGGGUAUAUUCUAGCAAAGGUAUGAAUUUUUAAGGCUUUCUUGAACGAGUAUUUUGAAUAGCAAACCAAAGAUCAGCCAUAUUAUUAAGGGAUUCAUAGAAUUCACCCAAUUUAUUUGCCCAAACCACUCCUUUUUUUCCCCCUUACUGUCAUUUUGGGCUUCUUACAGCCAGCCCAGGAAAAGGAGGCAUUUAACACAUCAAAAAGCUGAGAGUGGUAUUUCCAGCAGGCCUCUGCCUCCUCAUUUAUACCUGUGAGCGUGCAGUUCUGUACAGUUCUCUCUUUGGAAGGCAGCACAGCCUCAGUGUACUGUAAUAUGCCGAAAACAGCCUGGCAGAACCUCUCCUUCUGAGGCCUUUGUGCUGCCAUCCACUGCUGCGUUCUCUGAGCAGGUUGCUGUGAAAGAUAAAUAGCAGAGUCCCAAAGUGAUUUAAUGGAGUUUCCAUAACCUUCUGUCAGUAGAAGCGCUGCUUGGCAGAGGAACUUAGAGUUUUCUUUCAACUUUAACUCACUCCAGGCUUCUCUUACCCCUUCAUUUGACAGGUUUUUUCCCAGACUGGAAGGUUUCCACCAAGUCAUGAAGAUGGUUGUGUUUGGGAUGGUCCGGUGGAUCCUGUGCCUCGUGUCAGCUCUGCCGUUUGGGGAAGCCCCUACAGGUGAAUCUGUGGCAAGGUAGAAGGUCCAUGGUUCUCAUAAGGAAGUGAAGGAGUUGCAAAAUGGGAGCUUCUGCAGAAAAGUGUCUUCUGGCACUAGCUGUGCCCCAUUCCUACCAUCAAUAAGCCUUGGGUGAAAAGAGGGAGGUGCUCCAGGGGGACUUGGGAAAGCAGACUGGAUGUGACAGUGAAAAAUAAGGCUAUUGGAGGCACACAGCCAUGAGCCAGGAAUGGCUGAGCCCUGAGUCCCACAGGGACUCCCUCCAUAGGUCCGCCUACAGGAGCACCAGGCUCCCACGGGUUCACUUUCAGCUGCUGAGAGCCAUUCUAUCCUUAGCACUGCCCUCCCCAGAGCUGCCACAAAUGUGUUCUGCACUGUGAGUCCAGAGAUCCACAGCUGCAGCUCUGGAGUGGGAGCUUUCCUUGGCAGCUCUGGGUGAGACGUGGGCGAGGGCACCAGUGGAAGGAGCCCCGUUACGCCCUGACCCGUGUGAGCACACGUCUGUUUCUGCGCAGCCUCCCUCGCAGACCCGCCGAAAUCUGGGUUAUAUAAUGCCACUGCUGCCUCGAAACAGGGAGGUUAAAAUGAGGUCGUCCAAGAUGGGAGCUGCCUGCAGCCUGCAGCCGCCUCGGGAGGACUGCCUGCGCCGAGCCCUGCGCGCAGAGGAGCACUGCAACAUAAACAUACAGAAACAUAGGUCAGGAUGCUGGAAGUCUCCGGAGCGCUCAUGGUGUGGAAUCAGGCCCAUUUCUUUAUUUGCAACUCCCUGUUUAUGUGACGAACUGUGCUGAGCAGGCAGCGUGACGGGCUGCGGUCACAGGGCACUGCAGAGCUGCGGGGUGCCAGAUCCACACAGCGCAGAGCUCUGUGCCACAGCCAGCCCCAGGUGUUACCCUUUUUAAGCAUGUUUUAAGGGUGCAAGGUCUACAUUAUUCCUUCCAUCAUUGCUUUAUUUGCAGUAUGCCAGGGAAAGGCCAUCGCUCCAAGGGGAUCCACGUAAGAAAGUAUAGGACUGUAAUAGAAAAAGCAAGAAUUCUAUUGCAUUAAAGCAGAUAUUCUUUUUCCAGAACACUAAUGCAAUUCCUCCAGAACAAAGAGUGGAAGCUUCCUCCUGUAAAUGCAUUUCACAGAGACCACAAGGUGGGAAACGUGGGGCUGUUUGAGGGGAGCUGCUUGGGAUGAGCACAUCAGUGAGUUCAGCACUGGGCAUUGGGUGAUUCCAUGACUGGAGGGCCACUAAAACCAACACGCUGCUGCAAACAAAGAGACAAAAGUCACAUUACCAGGAGCACAUGAGUUUGAGGAAGACCUACUCCCUCCUAACAGCAUGUGAAAACACCUGAUUUCCCAUUGUCAUGGUAAGCCUUUCCUUCAAAGCACUCCUAAUUUGUUUCCUGAUCCUCCAGCUUCUUGGUUGGUGCCAGAACAGAGCAGUGAGGGCUGGAGAGUUGUUGGCAGGACAGCAGCUGGGGAACAGUCUUUGUCUUUGACAGCAAGCGAUGGACAGUGCUUCUGUCCCACUGGGGGGAAUUUCUGCAUCACCAUCACUAAACUGGAUACAUGUGGGAUGAUUGCUGACCACAGAAAGAAGCCGAAGAUGAACCACCUACCUGCUGAAGGCAGAGGAUCAGCGCUGCUCCAGCCUUGCUCCUUGUUGGUACACAAGUUAGGCAAGUUACUUCGGGUAGAGAUCCCAGUGGGGGAUGGAGCCCUGUGUUAUCCUCCAAAGGGUCCCAGUUUGUGCAGGCAAUAUAACUGCACAUCAGUCUUUGCUGCUCCACAGCAGCACUCCCUUUGGGUUACUUCUCUGCUGAUUUUCAGAGGGAGCAGUUGGGCUGAGAACCCAGAGGGGCAGCCUGGCCAAUGCAGUGUUGCAAACUCUGCCCCAUCCUGGCAGAGCAAUGCAAAGGCAGGGAGUUACCCCGAGUAAAACCCUUGCUCAGAUGGACCAUGAACGCAGCCACAGGAUAAGGUAGCAACCCAUAACGUAGGUAAGAAGCAUUUUGCAAAGGGGCAGUGCGUAAAAACAAGCCUGAGCAAAAGGAAAGUUAAGCCUCUUAAAUAUUAAAGUUCCAAAAUUAAACCCUUGUUUAUAUAACAGUUGGGUCACUGCUGCAGAACACGGGAGUUCACAGCAUUGCACCAAAAAAGGCUCUCGUGGAGCCAACAGCUGCUCCCCAGGGGCUCAGAGCAGGUGGGGAGCAGAGCUGCAGCCAGGAGGAUGCUCGUAGGGUUCAGCUGCCCUGACACGAAGUCUGCAGUCACCCCAUAAAGCAGUGCAACCCUUCGGGAUGUGCCUUGGAAGUUGGUGUAGGGGGAUGUCCGGCCCAUUCCUGCCUGCCCCCCUGCUUCGGUUUGGCUCAUCGCAGGUGAUAGCACAGCAACACAAGGCAAAUGCAUGCACAAAACAUAGAGAAUAACUUCAUGAAGUUUCUCUGCUGCUCAGUUAUCUUCAAAAAGCCAUCUAGAAAGGCCCGCAGAUACACCCCUACUUAUUAUUUUGUAAGAAAAGAGCACAAAAGAACUUAAUCCAAAGUAAAUAUUUAACCAAACAGCAAUUAACUAACAAUGAUGGAUUGUAAACAGCGCUGCUCCGAGGCUGAGCUGCAGCUCUCCUCUGUUUCUCUGGGCUACGGCUGCCCUAAGGGGGAAGGCAAGUUUACCGAGUCAGAUUUGUCUCUGCCACCUCGCUAUUAAAAGGCUCUACAAACAGAAACGGCAUCGGAUGAUCUGAGAGCGAGGAAAACAAUAAAGAACACAGCAAUGCAGGGCACGGGAGUUGUAAGGCUUUAUGGAGCAACUGUCCUUGGGAAGGAGGGCUGAGCAAACACGAAGCUGUAAAGGAACUGCUUCCCAUCCGGGCAGCUUGUGUGAUACAUCCCAUGGGGCAGCAGUCCCACUUACCCACGAGGAAGUAGUGAUAAUAACAAUAAUAAUAAUAAUGUAUUUUAAUAUUUUAAUACUUAAUACUUAUUAAAUUAUUAUUAUGUCCCAUUUGUUAUUGUUAUGCUCCAUUAUCAUUAUGUUCCCUUCGGGAAGAUGUCCCCCCCACGGAUCACUACUUCCA
rnacentral:lncRNA from 1 species